GACGUAGGGGGCCAGCGUUGCUCGGAAUUACUGGGUGUAAAGGGUUCGUAGGCGGUGUGGCAAGUCGGGAGUGAAAUCUCUGGGCUCAACCCAGAGUCUGCUUCCGAAACUGCUGUGCUUGAGUGUGGGAGAGGCGCGUGGAAUUGCAGGUGUAGCGGUGAAAUGCGUAGAUAUCUGCAGGAACACCCGUGGCGAAAGCGGCGCGCUGGACCACUACUGACGCUGAGGAGCGAAAGCGUGGGGAGCGAACAGG
rnacentral:rRNA from 1 species